AGUGAACGCUGGCGGUAGGCCUAACACAUGCAAGUCGAACGGCAGCACAGUAAGAGCUUGCUCUUACGGGUGGCGAGUGGCGGACGGGUGAGGAAUACAUCGGAAUCUACUUUUUCGUGGGGGAUAACGUAGGGAAACUUACGCUAAUGCCGCAUACGACCUACGGGUGAAAGCAGGGGAUCUUCGGACCUUGCGCGAUUGAAUGAGCCGAUGUCGGAUUAGCUAGUUGGCGGGGUAAAGGCCCACCAAGGCGACGAUCCGUAGCUGGUCUGAGAGGAUGAUCAGCCACACUGGAACUGAGACACGGUCCAGACUCCUACGGGAGGCAGCAGUGGGGAAUAUUGGACAAUGGGCGCAGGCCUGAUCCAGCCAUACCGCGUGGGUGAAGAAGGCCUUCGGGUUGUAAAGCCCUUUUGUUGGGAAAGAAAAGCAGCAGGUUAAUACCCCGCUGUUCUGACGGUACCCAAAGAAUAAGCACCGGCUAACUUCGUG
rnacentral:rRNA from 1 species